rnacentral:lncRNA from 1 species
UUUAAUGCUCCAAUCACUGUUCAGGGGUCUUGUAUCAGGCAUGCUGCUGCUACUGUCACCACUCCUGUCAGAUUUUUCUGGGCUUCUCCAAGCUGAUUACCCAGGAUGCCCCAACUUUUUUGUUCACUGUUUCCUCAAAAUGAUUUCUGCACUCUCCAAAACAAAAUUAUAUGAGUUUAAGGAAGUCAUAAUUAACUUCAAGUUUAGAAGAUCAGCACUGCUAAGCUUUCCACUAAUGUAUUGCAAGAGAUGCGGCAAAGAUAAACCAAUGCAAAUUAAGGAUCUCAAUCAUCUCAGACAAAGCACUCCGAUGAAGCAAAUAUGCCAAACCAUGAAUUGUAUAGGUCAAGAAGCUUUACUCAUGUCCAGUGACGGCGCCUCACUGACGACCAUGCCUGGUGGUUGGUGCCAUUGUAGUCUGCACGAGCAAUCAUCAUCACACGCAACUUCUGAUCUAAUUAAUCAGAGUGCUCUUUCUCAUCCAGCUAAAGAAUCUCUUCCCCUGAAAAAAACUAUACAAACUCCCUAAGUAAAAUAAAACCAAAGACAUAGACAGAAACAAUUUCUUCCAUGUCAACUGAAGCUCGAUGGAAAAAGCAACUUCUGAUCUAAUUAAUCAGAGUGCUCUUUCUUAUCUAGCAGAAGAAUCUCUUGCCCUGAAAAAAGAACUCUAUGAACUCCCUAAGUGAAAGAAAACGAAAGACACAUAUAGAAACAAUUUCUUCCCUGUCAAUUGAAGCUCGACAGAAAAUGCUACCUUCAACCAAUCAAUUACUGCCCAGUGCCUUUGAAGAACUAUUGCUGCCUCAGGCGCUGAACUUUGUCCACCUGCUGAUUUCUUCUAUGGCUAGGGAGCAUGCGUUCUUCUAGGGAUUGGUCACAUAGGAAAAAAAUGGAUCCCAAGACUUAGUAGGCACAAGUGAUCUUUGGGAAAAUAAAUGGGUUUCGCAAGCUCAGAAGAGGCAUAAACGUACGAAAACAAUCAGAAACCAUAUAUUGUCAACAAAGGGCAUUCAAGUAUCCAUGAUCUCAUGAAAAAAAAGUAUCCAUGAUCUCGAGACAAAGCAAAUACAGUUAGUUGCUAGAUCCAUGAAUAACUCAUUAUCACUAAAGAAUUAAGGAGUCAGCAUGAACUACCUAAAACAGGGAAGACCAAAAAGAAUGCCAGAUUAGAAGGAUCAGUUUCCCCUAAAUAGCACAUUGGGUGAUAAGAAAUGUAUCAUGCGCAUGGAGUGAAAAUAUACUUAAUGCAAACCUUUGAACUGAAAAUCUACACGGAUACACUUUUUAGGCAAAUGCAGCGAAAUACAUGUGAGGUUUAUAUAGACGUACCAAAC